rnacentral:rRNA from 1 species
AUUGAACGCUGGCGGCAGGCCUAACACAUGCAAGUCGAACGAGUGGCGGAAGUGUUACUAAUGUCUGGGAAAGUGCCUGGUGGUGGGGGAAGGAUACUGGAAACGGUAGCUAAUACCGCAUCACGUCAGAUGUGCCCUGAUGGGAUUAGCUUGUUGGUAGGGGAACGGCUCACCAAGGCGACGAUCCAUAGCUGGUCUGAGAGGAUGACCAGCCACACUGGAACUGAGACACGGUCCAGACUCCUACGGGAGGCAGCAGUGGGGAAUAUUGCACAAUGGGCGCAAGCCUGAUCCAGCCAUGCCGCGUGUAUGAAGAAGGCCUUCGGGUUGUAAAGUACUUUCAGCGGGGAGGCGUUACCCGCAGAAGAAGCACCGGCUAACUCCGUGCCAGCAGCCGCGGUAAUAC